UUUAAAUUUAUCGAAGAUGAUACUUAAACAUUCUAAAGCUUGGAUUAUUUCCACCUUCACUGCAGAUCUACCAACAAUAUUUUUAGACUUUAUAUUUUGUAGAGAUUCAUUUUAAUAUGUAUUAAUUUUGUAAAGACAAAAAAUAAAGAUAAAAAAUAAAAAAUAUACGAUUAAAAUCAAACAAAUAAAACAAUUUAAAUAUUAUGUAUAUUGAUGACCGGAUUG
rnacentral:lncRNA from 1 species